UUAGGGAUUAUCAGCUGUUGCAAACUAAAGCCCCUAUUAUCUACUGGGCCCAAGGGGCUGGAACUCUAAUCCCCUCAAAACCACCUAACAGCUGUGUGACUCAGUGGGUUACUUAACCUCUCGGUGCUUCAGUGUCCUGUAAAACAAGGAAAAUUAAUAGCAACUGCAUAAGGUUAUGAUUGAAUUAAAUGAAUUACUAUAUGUGAAGCCUAAGUAUAAUGCCAGGCACAUACUAAGUAAUGAAAUGUGUUACAAUAAAUAAAUACAUAGCCCUCUAUUUGCUAAAUGGGAUGCUGAUUCAUGAAUGACUUAAUAAGGCAAAUUUGAUAGGUAGUUAUAUACACACAUGGGUCCUUUUGCCCUAGAUGGGAGGGACUAGUAACAUGCAGCUUCUGAAUGUGAGAGUUUAUCGGCUUUUAGCAGUCUCCGAAGCAGGCCUCCUUUAGACUCAUCCCCUCUCACCACCCUAGGAUUCCUGAGUCAUGGGGGUUGCAACUCCACUUUAUAUAUUCUUUAGCCAAAGACUGGUUCCUGUUUCCUCCCGCCCCUAACCCACUGUCUAUAUGAUAGUGGUCACAGAGCAAGUGGCCUCCAACCAUCAAACACCUCAAACAUGCAUCCUGUUACUGAGAAUACCUGGGCACCCACCACCUCUUCCUCAGACUGGUACCCCCUCCACCCUCACUCUUCUUCUGUCACCCUUCUGCUUAGCAGCCCUGAAGUCCUAGAAGACACUCACCUGAGAGCAGAGCGAAGAUCUGGAAAGGCUGCUGGGGCUGGAUUCAACUCAGUUACUGCAUCCCCAGUUCUCCCAGAGCCUGCCUGGUGCCACAGGCACGGAUGCAGUCCUGGUUCUGCUGGUGAAGUGGUGAAUGAGUGGAGUGCUCGGUGCAGGUGAGGAGGUGGGUUGGGACAGGACCUGUUUUUUGUCAGCCAGGCAGAAGUCUUCACUGAAACCCAGGGAGGAUUAACGGGCCCUCCAAAUUCACAGCUGUUUAUCAGCCUCAGUAAGAGAGCCAGUUGGGAGAAAGCCCGCAGUAAGUUUUGUUUUCUCCCAGGCAAGUGCCGUAGGCAUUUUUAUGUAUAUGAAAAUGUACAUCAUGUAUACGAAAGAG
rnacentral:lncRNA from 1 species